rnacentral:rRNA from 1 species
GCAGGGAAUAUUGCGCAAUGGGCGAAAGCCUGACGCAGCGACACCGCGUGGGGGAUGAAGGCCUUCGGGUCGUAAACCCCUUUUACCAGGGACGAAUAAUGACGGUACCUGGUGAAUAAGCCUCUGCUAACUACGUGCCAGCAGCAGCGGUAAUACGUAGGAGGCGAGCGUUAUCCGGAUUUACUGGGCGUACGGUGCGCGUAGGCGGCUUAACAAGUCGGUUGUGAAAUCUCCUGGCUUAACUAGGAGGGGACAUUCGAUACUGUUAGGCUUGAGUGCAGCAGAGGGAGAUGGAAUUCCCGGUGUAGUGGUGAAAUGCGUAGAUAUCGGGAGGAACACCAGUGGCGAAGGCGGUCUUCUGGGCUGUUACUGACGCUGAGGCGCGAAAGCGUGGGGAGCGAACAGGAUUAGAUACCCUGGUAGUCC